AGUGGAAUUGCUGGAUCAUAUGAUAACUCUAUUUUUAACUUUUGGAGGAAUUGCCAAACUGUUUUCCAAAGUGACUGCACCAUUACACAUUUCUACCAGCAAU
rnacentral:pre_miRNA from 1 species